GAUGGACGCUGGCGGCGUGCCUAAUACAUGCAAGUCGAGCGAACGGACGAGAAUCUUGCUUCUCUGAUGUUAGCGGCGGACGGGUGAGUAACACGUGGAUAACCUACCUAUAAGACUGGGAUAACUUCGGGAAACCGGAGCUAAUACCGGAUAAUAUUUUGAACCGCAUGGUUCAAAAGUGAAAGACGGUCUUGCUGUCACUUAUAGAUGGAUCCGCGCUGCAUUAGCUAGUUGGUAAGGUAACGGCUUACCAAGGCAACGAUGCAUAGCCGACCUGGGAGGGUGAUCGGCCACACUGGAACUGAGACACGGUCCAGACUCCUACGGGAGGCAGCAGUAGGGAAUCUUCCGCAAUGGGCGAAAGCCUGACGGAGCAACGCCGCGUGAGUGAUGAAGGUCUUCGGAUCGUAAAACUCUGUUAUUAGGGAAGAACAUAUGUGUAAGUAACUGUGCACAUCUUGACGGUACCUAAUCAGAAAGCCACGGCUAACUACGUG
rnacentral:rRNA from 1 species